UACGAAGGGGGCUAGCGUUGUUCGGAAUUACUGGGCGUAAAGCGCACGCAGGCGGCUCGAUAAAUUAGAAGUGAAAGCCCCGGGCUUAACCUGGGAAUUGCUUUUAAGACUGUCGGGCUAGAAUCCAGAAGAGGAUCGCGGAAUUCCCGGUGUAGAGGUGAAAUUCGUAGAUAUCGGGAGGAACACCGGUGGCGAAGGCGGCGAUCUGGGUAGAUACUGACGCUGAGGUGCGAAAGCGUGGGGAGCAAACAGG
rnacentral:rRNA from 1 species